rnacentral:lncRNA from 1 species
AAAUCAUAACCCAAUUCUAAUUCAUAUCUUCAUAGAAAAAAAUAAAAAUAUCAAUUAGAUUGAUAGAUUGACGACUAAUUUUAAUAAAAAAAUAUAACUAUUUAAAAGAUUUGAAUAUGACAAUAAUUGUAACGCCCCGUUUUUUUUUUCUUCUUUUUUUCACGUUGGGCGUAAUUAACAAAGCAACCAAUUCUAUAGUCAAUCGGUCAAGCACAAGGAAACACUAUCACAAUCCCUUAUUCAAUGAUCAAGGUAAAUCUACAAUCAUGCACAAGACAUCGCACAUAAUAUAACCGUAUACAAUGUCUAUGCUACCAUCAAUUUACACAUUCUAUUCAGUCAAAAAAACGAAAAUCUUUAUCCUGUUACUCUACACACUAGGUUCGAACGCCAACAACUUCCAUCCAGACUUCGUCCUACACCAUCUGUAAAGAGGAAAGAGUGAGUCCAUUUAACUAAGUACGGUACAAAUCAAAAUACAGGUGUGAGAUGCAACAAUAUAAACCCCAAGUUCCUACCAACAGUUCACUACCGAACCCCAGUCCCCCCCUGUAUCCCACAAUCCCACCUACCCAGGGUUUCCGUCCCCCGACGGCACCCCAGGCGUGCUAGUGAUACCACCCACCACCAAGAUCGGCGAUCAUUAACCACCUAUCGAUCCCUACUGGGCCACGCACGGACACUAUUUUCCUUCAUUUUUGUCACCAACAUCGGCGACCAUCAUCCACCUACCGACCCUUAUCGGGCCACACACACACACUCUAAUCAUUCUCUCCCGUCACCAAC